rnacentral:rRNA from 1 species
ACGAACGCUGGCGGCGUGCUUAACACAUGCCCGUCGAACGGAAAGACCCUGCUUUUGUGGGGUGCUCGAGUGGCGAACGGGUGAGUAACACGUGAGUAACCUGCCCUUGACUUUGGGAUAACUUCAGGAAACUGGGGCUAAUACCGGAUAGGAGCUCCUGCUGCAUGGUGGGGGUUGGAAAGUUUCGGCGGUUGGGGAUGGACUCGCGGCUUAUCAGCUUGUUGGUGGGGUAGUGGCUUACCAAGGCUUUGACGGGUAGCCGGCCUGAGAGGGUGACCGGCCACAUUGGGACUGAGAUACGGCCCAGACUCCUACGGGAGGCAGCAGUGGGGAAUAUUGCACAAUGGGCGGAAGCCUGAUGCAGCAACGCCGCGUGCGGGAUGACGGCCUUCGGGUUGUAAACCGCUUUCGCCUGUGACGAAGCGUGAGUGACGGUAAUGGGUAAAGAAGCACCGGCUAACUACGUG